rnacentral:rRNA from 1 species
AGAGUUUGAUCCUGGCUCAGAUUGAACGCUGGCGGCAUGCCUUACACAUGCAAGUCGAACGGCAGCACGGGGGCAACCCUGGUGGCGAGUGGCGAACGGGUGAGUAACGCAUCGGAACGUGCCCAGUAGUGGGGGAUAACCAGUCGAAAGAUUGGCUAAUACCGCAUACGACCUACGGGUAAAAGCGGGGGAUCGCAAGACCUCGCGCUACUGGAGCGGCCGAUGUCUGAUUAGCUAGUUGGUGGGGUAAAGGCUCACCAAGGCGACGAUCAGUAGCUGGUCUGAGAGGACGACCAGCCACACUGGGACUGAGACACGGCCCAGACUCCUACGGGAGGCAGCAGUGGGGAAUUUUGGACAAUGGGCGAAAGCCUGAUCCAGCCAUGCCGCGUGCGGGAAGAAGGCCUUCGGGUUGUAAACCGCUUUUGGCAGGAACGAAACGGUGCCGACAAAUACUCGGCGCUAAUGACGGUACCUGCAGAAUAAGCACCGGCUAACUACGUGCCAGCAGCCGCGGUAAUACGUAGGGUGCAAGCGUUAAUCGGAAUUACUGGGCGUAAAGCGUGCGCAGGCGGCUAUGCAAGACAGGUGUGAAAUCCCCGGGCUCAACCUGGGAACUGCAUUUGUGACUGCAUGGCUAGAGUUUGUCAGAGGGGGGUGGAAUUCCACGUGUAGCAGUGAAAUGCGUAGAGAUGUGGAGGAACACCGAUGGCGAAAGCAGCCCCCUGGGGCCUGACUGACGCUCAUGCACGAAAGCGUGGGGAGCAAACAGGAUUAGAUACCCUGUAGUCCACGCCCUAAACGAUGUCGACUAGUUGUCGGAGAUCACUUCUUCGGUAACGCAGCUAACGCGUGAGGUCGACCGCCCUGGGGAGUACCGUCGCAAAAUAAAAACUCAAAGGAAUUGACGG